UUUGUUAUUGAAUUUCCCCCCCUUAUCUCUGCUCUUCUGGUGGGUGAAGACAAACCCCAGGUUUUCCUCUAUUUAAAAAAAUCUGGAUGUGAAGUUAGUAAACAAUUUACGUGAGUGAGCAUAUGUUACGGAAGUGGAAACAGCUGGCUCUGGGGAGGCUGGUGGUCAUGGGUUGUUUUCAUGUGGGGAGUCAUUGGAACUGCUCCCAGACCAGGCCUGGAGUGUCCCUGUCCUGCGAGCUCUCCUGCCUCCCCUCUGCUUCCCGCCCUUCCCCCCUCCUCCUCUUCCCUCCCCUCCUCCCCCAUCCCUCCUCUCCUCUCCCCUUCCCUCUUCCCCCUCCCCUUCCCUCCCAUCCCCCUCCAUCCAGGCCCCUACCUCCCCCCAUCCCUCCUUCCCUCUUCUCGCCUCCCCACCCAUCCUUUCUUCACCCCUUCUGUCCCCUCGUCUAGCUCCUCUCUCCAUUCCAUUCCUUUCUGUUUGUGCUUUAAUGUUGAAAAGCAAAAAGUCUCCCUUCCCAAACUCCCCUCCCUCCUUUUGGAGGGGGUGGUUAUGACCCUUAUUUUUGCCCCCAGUCCUGCAGGACACAGGAUGGUGGAAAGGAGUGCAGUGGGCUCUGUGGCCCAGGGAGACUACCUCCCAAAAGGCAGUGACCAGCACCUCUGCCUGGGGUGGCCGCUGACAGGGGAGGCCCAGCGAGGUCAGGGUCAGGGCCAUGAGAGCCCCUCGUAGGGUGGUGCGCUUGGGGGAUUGAUUGGAAUUACAAUGACAGUGUGGAACCAAACUAAAUGAUUCCCUUUUAUUAAUAAUAACUGUGACAGUAUUAACACGGUGAUGGUAGCAAACACUUAUACAGCAUGUAUGACACUCCAGAAACUAUCCGAAGUACUUUAUAUAUACUCUUUUCUUCCUCAUGACAGCCCUCUGGAGUAGGUGUUACUAUUAUUAUCUCUGUUUUACAAAUGAGGAAACUGAGACGCAGCGAGGUUAAGUAACUUGCCCAAGGUCACACAGCUAGUAAGUAGCAGAGUUGGGAUUCAGACCCAGGCAGUUGGGCUCCAGAGUUUGAGCAGCAGAGUUUUAAGAUAGCCCUUUCCUGUGCCUCACAUCGUGGAAAGACAAACAACCCAACAAAUUGGCACGCUUGCUCCAUAUGAGUGCUUGUGUAUAACACAUCUAAGAAGUGGUGCAUAAUGAGAUUUUGAUGUUCUCUAAUUCCUCUGACAGUUUCACACAUGAUCAUGUGGCUGGUUGUAGGACUCUGUUAGUGAACACAUUUUGUCUACACGUGUGUAUCCCCUGGGUGGUCUGCCAGCCUCAGCCAAGAAAGAAUAUGGGAAAAGCAAAUUACCUAUUCAUUUAUUCAAUCAUUUAUUAAUUGUCUACUGUGUGUCAGACACAGGGUCUGGCUGUAGGGAUACAGAAAGAAAAGACUUGGUCCAGUUGAAACAUAAAUGGUAUUCAUCUAUUAUAUUGAAUAAAUAUAAAGCACCUGUAAGCCGAGUAAUACAGUAUGAUAAGAACCAUCAGAAGAGAUAAGCGCUACAUGACAGAUGCUGGGAGAACUUACCCACCUCUCUGGCAGGCAUGGCUGAGGCUGGAGAAGGGAGCUAUCGGGGGUGUGUUUUCACGAAGAGAUGGUGUUUGCGCCUCAUCUUGGAGAGUGGGAAGGUGUAGAGUUAGUGAAAAUAGGAACAUUUCCUCUCCCAGGAUGGAGCCCCAGGGCAUGCUGUGGUCCUUGUGGGACACAUUUGAUUGGUCAUGCUUCUUGGCUUGUCAUCUGUACAGGGGAUGAAUUGGUACAUUAAUUUUCCUCAUUUGACACAAACCCUACCCCCUCUACCCCUGCCCAGGUGGCAAGUGAGAAGUGUACUGGACAGCGUUGUGCAAUGCUUCUCAAGGUCAGUUAAUGAAAAAAUCCUAGUUACUGCCUGUUUUGGGCUGAGUUGCAUCCCCCUGAAAUUCAUACAUUGAAGCCCUGAUCCCCAUUCCCGCGGAAUGUAUUUGGAGAUAGGGUCUUUAAAGAGGUGAUUAAGUUAAAGUCAGGUCAGUAGGGUGAACCCUAAUCCAAUAGGACUGGUGUCCUUAUAAGAAGAGGAGAUUAGGACACAGACAUGCAAGAGGAAAGACCAUGUGAAGACAAAGGAGAAGGUGACCAUGUACAAGCCAAGGAGAGAGGCAUCAGAAUGAAACCAACCCUGCCAACCCCUUGAUCUUGGACUUGUAGCCUUCAGAAAGGAGCGGACAUCGUCCAGUCUGCUGAGGGCCUGAAUAGAACAAAAGGCAGAGGAAGGAGGAAUUCAAACCUUUUUUCUGCCUCAGUGUUUGAGCUGUGACAUCUCGUCUCAUCUUCUCCUGCCCUCUGGACUGCCAUUGGCUUUCCUGGUUCUCAGGCCUUUGAACUCGGACUGAAUUAUACCACUGGCUCUCCUGGGUCUCCAGCUUGCCAACAGCAGAUGGAGUGGAAAAGAAACCAUUCACCAAAUCAUGGGCUGCGUACCAUAGGCCUGAGACUGUGCUAAUCUGCUCUAGCAAAGACACUACACCUGGCAUUGCGGCUGCAGUUAAGGCAUGGAGAGAGAGUGUGACGGAAGAUGAGACUGGAAAUGUAAAUUGGUGCCAGAUUGCAAAUGGGCCUGAAGGGGCCACGCUGGACUUGGACUUUAGCCGGAAUGCAUUGAGGAGUCCUUAUAGGUUCGUAAGCAAUAUAUGCUCUCCGCUUGCUACUUGCAACCAGAAAGCUGUGUUUUCUAACAUUUAAUAGCUUCCAAAUGAACUGUCUCAUUAGGUAGAGUGGGUGCUGUGUGCUGUGAUCAGGUCUCCUAUCAGGUUGGAAAUAUCUACUCUCCUGGCUGCCAGAGUGUUGGCUGCUGAAGCCCCCCAGCUGUGUCCCAGCCACCAUUAUUUCCCGAAUAUAACGUGCACUUUCAACCCUCUAUUCCUUUGUAUUUGCUAUUCUUUCUCUGGACUAUCUCCCCCACUUCCUAUGCCUGGAGAAAUUCUAUUUAUUCCACAAGACUUCCUUAGAUGUCUCCUCUCACCCCAGAUAGGAUUAACUGCUUCCUUCUCCUUCUAGAGUGUUUUGUUCAUUAUGUGAGUUUAGGACUUGCAGAGAUUCUGGGUGUCACAAAUGGCGAUGCAUGUCCUUGGCUCCCCUAUGAACUGUGUCCUCGGGACAGCAGUCCAGACCAUGUCUCAUUAUCUUCAGGUCACCAGAGGUUUGCAUAGAGCCUGACACAUGUAGGCAUUCAAGGAAUGGUUACUGAAUUAAAUUUGUUAUCUAAUUGAACCUGAUUCUGGCGUUAAGAAAGGAAAAAAAUCCAGGCUUACAUGCACACAUUUAUUCUUUCAUAAAGUAUGUAUUUGUUGUCAUGUAACAGUGGGCCCGAAGUAGACUUUUUGUGCUAAUAUCAUGUAUCAUUCUGAAUUUGUAAAGUAAAACUGUCAUAAACUUAAAGCUUUUCUUUUUCCUUCCAUCUGAACUGGAACUAUUUAACCAGGAAUGAACAUGACUCUAAUACCUUUAAAAACUACUUGAUUUCAUGUGUGUGUGUGUGUGUGUGUGAGCUUAUAUUGUGUUUGGAAACUGCCAGACACUCUUUGAUUUAUCUUUUAUCUUCAAGCACUGACCUCAUAAUAAUUAAAGCAACAAAAUAGUGCUGAGAGCAAAGAUACUUUUGUUUAUAGUUUCAAAAUUACAACCUGAUUAUUAGUUUAACACAAACCUUAAUUUUUAAAAAAAUUUUGAUUGAGGCAUAAACUAUUUACUGCCAUGGAGACUAUGAGUUUGACACGUGUUCACAUUUUUUCGGGUGCAAAUAUUUGGUGGAAGGAUUUCCAGACUAAAGUUCCCAGCCCUUGACCAUUUUUUUAAAAAAUGUGAACCACAGAUUGACCUACAUGUAUCCUCUGCCUUCCAUUGUCUGCAUUAUGCAGCAAGUGCGUGCAUUUUAGACAAUAAACAAGACACUUAACCAAGCUAGAAAACUGCUCACUGUAUUAGUUAGACCAACUUACCACUGACUUUAAGGUCCCAAAUCACAGUGGCUUAAACAUAAUAGGAGGGUAUAGAGUGCAUAUCUCCCUCAUGCAAAACUCUGAGUGUAGACAGUUCAAGGCUGUUAUGGCAGUUCUAGGAUCAUCUGGGCCCCGGUACCUCCAACUUUGUGUUCCACCAACCCAAGGGUCUGGUCCUCAUCCUUAUGGUCCAAGGUGGAGCACUGACCAUCAUAUCUCCGUCAGAAUGCUGAGUGGGUAAUGAAGAGAAGAAGAAUCCCCUAUCCUUUCUAAGGACAUUUCCUGGAACCUGUAGAUAUCACCUUUUCUCAUAUCCCUUGAGAUGGAUAUGACUGGAACUUAGCUCUGUGGCUACAAACAGCUGCCUAAUGAGACUGGAAAAUACAGUCUUUAUUUAGUAUGGCCAUGUGCCCACCUAAGUAUUGGUGGUUACUAUCACUGAAGAAAAAGGGGAAAAUAUACAUUGGGGACCACUGUAUCUCUGCUAUAUGAACACAUACCAAAGAGAGAACUCAAUGCUCAGAUGAUGUUUUGCAAACUAAUAAAUUGGAGGAUUCCAGCUU